GUCUCCGGCCACGCCACCCUGAACGCGCCCGAUCCCGUCCGAUCUCGGAAGCUAAGCAGGGUCGGGCCUGGUUAGCACUUGGAUGGGAGGCCACCUAGGAAGACUAGGUUCUGUAGGCA
rnacentral:rRNA from 1 species